rnacentral:lncRNA from 1 species
GGAAGAAACUAAAAGACUUAUUAGCUAGCUGAUAUACCCAAACGAAGAAAGCUGAUACCAAAGGGGUUUUCGUCUUCUGCAUCUUCCUCCUCUCAAUCUCUCUCAACCAAAGGGGUUUUCUCCCACUCCUAUAAAACAUUAUCCAUCCAAUUCCAUCAAAUCUCUUGAAUCUAUCCUUAAAUCGCAAAUGUAAACUGAUACCUACCCAAAGCCCUAAUCAGAAAUUAUAUUCUCAAAUUAGGUAUGUGUUUGAAUCAUAAAAAUAAUUCUGGGUUUUUCUGAUUUGAGCUUUCGAUUUCGGAGAAAGGUAAGUUUUUUACUUAAUUUUCUUUUGUUUAUGAUUUUUGGGGUUUUGAUUUAAGGUGAUUUGAUAGCUGGUAUUUUUUACGCGAUUCUUUGGACGCGAAAGAGCAGUUUUCAACUGAUUCUUUUGUUCUUUACGCGAUUCUUUGUUCUUUACACGAUUUUGUUUUUUCCCUUUUUGUUUAUUUGGUUGGUUUAUUUAUUGUCUUUUUUUUACUGUGCUUGUUUAUUUGGUUGGUUUAUUUUUAUUUUGAUUUUUAAGUAUGAUUAAUUUGAUUUUUGAUCCACAAUUGAAUCUCCAAAUGCAAAAACUGCUUUUACAACUACGUUUUUAAGUACAUGCAGCUAGCGAGAAUGAUUAUUUCUUCUAUUUCACCUUUAAUUUCUCUGACCCAUUUGAAAAUAUACAGGAAUCAGAAGUAAUUUUUCUUGAAUAGCCAUCGCCUGAAGCCCUUUCUGAGUGUCGACUGCUCUUUCGCUGGGUAAGUUGAAAACUUCUUUAGUUUCUCAUUUUAAACAAUAGGGAUUUGAGACCUCACAUUGAUUGGAAAGAUGGUCAAUGGUUUACUAAUGCUCGGGUAUGGUCCCUUUGAAUUCCUUUGGUUUUCAGGUCCUGUUGUUGCUUUUAUUAAAUCAGUCUACUAUUAUAUUCUUUCUUUCCGAGUGGUCAUAAUGGCGGGUAGUAGUUCUAUUGGUAGCUUGUAUAAUCCAUCUACUGUUGUAAGUUGUAAAUAGCAAUGCACCAGUUUAAUGUUGCAGCUGCCGCCUCCCCCCUUCCCCAAGUAACAAACCAAGCCAAUGUGAGUGAAAUCUGUUUAUUUAAGUUGAAACAUGAAAGCAGUGAAUGCAUCUCUAUUGAUGUUAUCUUCAUGCUCUAACAAUGUGAUCUUAUAUUUUUUUCUUCGGAAAAGGUCCAAAAAUAUCCUUGAACUAUUCAAAAUAGCUCAAAAAUAUCCUCCGUUUGUUUUUGGUGCCAAAAAUAUCCCUAGUCUAUGUUUUGGCCCAAAAAUGCCCCUAAACCGUUAGUUUUGCCACUAAAGCUGACAUUAGUCCAACUAGAUUAGAAUUGCUUACGUGCAACCCCAUUCUUUAGCUCCCAAAAAAUAAAUUAACACACAACGUUUACAAGAAAAAAAUUAAAACUUUAUUUGUACAACAAUAAAGACACUGGUUUCUUAAUCCUAAACAAGUUGGGGUCGGUUAUAUGAAUUCUCGAUAUCUAUAAUCAUGAGAACAAUGGAGUUUUUUAAUCAAAUCAUAAACCCGAAUCAAGAAUAAUUUUUUCAUAAAUUUUUUACUUUUUUCGGAAUAAGUAUUGAUUUUGUAUUUUAAUUAAAAAAUUCCAAAAUAAAUAUUUUUUUUUUCGAAUUUUUUUACUUUUUCAGAAUAAAUGUUGAUUUUGUAUUUUAUUAAAAAAUUCUGGAAAAAUAAAAUUUCCGAAAAAAUUAUUUUCACAUAUGGAUUGCUUAGGUGAACGACCACGUAAGCAAUUCUAACCUAGUUGGACUGCCAUGUCAGCUUUAGUGGCAAAACCAACGGUUUAGGGGCAUUUUUGGGCCAAAACAUAGUCGGCAGGGAUAUUUUUGGCAUCAAAAACAAACGGAGGAUAUUUUUGGACCUUUUCCGUUUUUUCUUUAAUAAUAGGGACAAGGUUCUUAAACAGUGGGAACAAUGAAGGAGAAGCUUGAAGCUAAGGCACUCAAUGUUUUGCUUUUUGGUUAUAUGUAAAUGUGUACAAUGACAAUGAAGUAUUAUGUAGUAUAUAUGUGGAGGAACUUGAAGCUAAGGCACUCAAUAUUUUGCUUUUUGGUUAUAUGUAUAUGCGUACAAUGAAAUGGAAGUAUUUACUAUUUGGUUUAAGAAAUUUUUUUGGUGUUUAUUAAAUACUAUUGGAUGAUCUUAUAUAUUAAUAUUAAUAUAUAAGUUUCAG